rnacentral:misc_RNA from 1 species
ACAAAUUCUCCGAGUUCACAUGGCCCUUACUAUAUGAUAAGAAAAUUAAAAUAUUAGCUUAUGCAAGUCAAACAAAAUCUUGGGCGAUUGAGAACUACCAAAAUUUAAUACUUAAUUAGGCAAACAUACUUUUAUUAUUCUUCUACAUUCUUCAUUCAUCAUCUUUAAAUGUUGUCUUCUUCCCUGAGGCAACUGCAGUCACACUAGGUUUAUAGGGUGUUCCACGUCCUCUGCCCCGACCACCACCCCUACCGCCAAAGCGGCCACCACCAUCUCUACC